rnacentral:lncRNA from 1 species
AUGUCCUCGUCCUCUUCUUGGGGGACCCAAAUUGUCCGACAUCCCAGGCACUAUCGCCGGCUGCCCCCAAGUCCUCCUUUGAGCCGCUGCAAUAGGGCAGGGAUCCUCCACCUGAGCGCGAGUUCCCUGAGGGGCUCAGCGCUCCCCUGGGGGCCAGGGGAGGAUCAGCACCCGCCGCUUACCUCCUCCAACCCGACCCCUGCACCGCCGCUCCCAGCACCCUGGGCGCGGCCACCUCCCGCGGGACCACCCGGCCAGCCCAGCUCCGGGAACCUCCACCCUGCGCGUACUCCACCGCUGGCCUGGGACACCCCUGGAAGGUCCAUCCCCCUAAAUCCUACAACUUCCAUACCUGCUCGCCUACAGCCCUGUCCUCUGUCUUUCCCGGGGACCCCGCCUCAAAGCCCGCCCCAGGAUGCCCACCUGCUGACUCUAGGACCCUGGCCCACACCCGGCAAGGGUCCUCCGCGGCCCGCAACCCCGCAGCCGCGGGCUCCACCUUUUACUCCAGAGCUGUCACCAGCCCUCUCCAGCCUGUCCACCCACGUGCAAGACCCAGAAGCUCCUGGCCCUCUCAGAGAAAUAGUAUGCUUGAGACACAGUGUUGAUGAUGAAGUUUCCAAAGCAUUUAACUGAUGAUAGUUCCCGAACUGAGGCAAAGCAACGAAGAGGCUGUGUGGGUACCCUGCAGCAGCAGUGCGGUUUGAAUAUGGCGACACCAAGACUGCAGGGCAAGGACAGCUGAAGUGAAACCGGAUGGAAGCUUCAGUCUUUCCAGUGACCCAGCCACCUCCCAAGUCAAGAAAGGCCUAAGCAGCACUGAUGCUGUUCUGGGGACCAAAGCUGGAGGUGCUGUUGGGUAGAGCAGGGGAAGAAGAGGCAUGAAUAACAGCACUGAGCUGAGCCAGUCUGUUUGAGAGGUCAGGCUCAGUUCACCCAGGCACAACCUAAGAAAACCGAGCUCACUGCUCUCAGGAGCCCCCUCCCUUGAUCCUAUCAGGCCAUCUGUGGGAGGAGGACACAACCUAAGGGGAAUUCCAGGGACCAGGCAUCUCCAGAAAAACAUGCUGAGGCCCCAGGCAGCCCUACCUUGCCUUCCCCACCAAUUCCAGCAGCCCACUCAUUUAUCUUUUUCAUUAAAAAAGAGAGGCAUUUCUUCCCUGAAGGGCACCCAGUAGAAAGCUGCCUUCCUUCCUUUGUUAUUGAGCAUGCUUUGACAGAAUGUACAAUUUCUUCUGAUCUGUUAUACGUCAACAUCCAAGUAUGUAAGUACGUUCCAGAAGUAUGUUCUCAAGCACCUCCUGUUACCCAGAGAAGCUGUGUAUUAGUAUGAAAUUGAACAUAACCAACCAGUGCUUUUAACCUAGGUGAGAAAAUCAGAGAAAGCAGAAAUCCCAGAACCCCUGGCUGCAGAGUUACAAUUCCACAUGCUGCCCUGUGUGACUGUGGACAAGUGCCCCCAUGCCUCGACAGGCCAAUUUUCUGAGGAUACUGGGCAGUCUCCAGGUUCUCUUACAGCUCCAACUUUCUAUGAUUCUCUAAGACUUGGCAGCAAAGCACACACAGCACAGCAGGGAGCACAGAGUAGACUGUCUGAGAGACUCCCCAGGGCCCACACUGGCAGAAAGAAUAAGGGUGGUGUGCACAGGAAGGGGUAAAGCCUGCUGCAGAACGAGCAUGAGCUUUAAACAACUGAAAUAUCAUUUUUCACCUACCAGACUGGCAAAAAGGAAAAAGGAAACUACCUUGGGGGAAGCUGGCACUCUCAAACAAUGCUGUUGGGAACACAUUUUGAAAUAGCUUUCCAAGAAAGGAAUUCAGCAGUAAGCAUGAAAACCCUGAAACAUGUGCACAUUUUUUGACCCAGCGAUGAACCCUUCCUAGUGAUAUAACUCAGGGAAAUAAUUGGGCAAAAAAAGACAAAGGGAUAUGAAGACAGAUGUUCACUUUUCCAGCAUUGUUGCCAACACUGGGAAACAGUAGAAACUGUGUGUUUAUUAUGUGCAGUAGGUAAAAUGCUAUCUAUAAGGUAAAAUGAUGGAAUGGAUCCUUGUAAAAGUGACAUGGAAAUCUACGUGCCUGUGUCUGUGUGUCUCCCAGAGGGUGGGCAAGAAGGGGAGGAAAAGAACAGGGAAGCCACAGAAAGCAAUAUAUGCAAUGCUGCUAUUCCCCCCCCCCAUUAAGUUUAUUGGUACAUUUUUGGUAUAAAAUACAGUUACAUUUAUGAGCACCUUGGUUCUUAUUUUUUUCCCCUUCCCUUGCCCUCCCUUCACCCCCUCCACCCUUCCCUAUUUGCAAAGACUUUGUUUCCAUUUUUUUUCCUCUUCUCAUAUUUUUUCCUUUCCUUUUUUUCCCUUCCCCUACCCCUCCCAAUUCCCCUGCUCUUUUAGACCUUUUCUUCCUGUUACACAAUAUCAGUUAUUAAUUUUUUAAAUUACAAUAUUAAGA